GUCUACGUGGUGCAGUGGUCAGCACGCUCGGGCGGAUAUUCGAGAGGUCCAUGGUUCGAGUCCCGGCGAAGACA
rnacentral:tRNA from 1 species